GAAGAUAGAUCAGGAGUUCCGCCGCCGCAAGCCUCUGUAGCCACCAAAAACCUCUCGGGAGCCCGUUCCGGCACCCUGCCGGAGGGGGAACCCAUCACCGGUGGCCAUCUUCAUCAUCCCGGCGCUCUCCAUGACGAGGAGGGAGUAGUUCACCCUCGGGGCUGAGGGUAUGUACCAGUAGCUAUGUGUUUGAUCUCUCUCUCUCGUGUUCUCUCUAUGGCACGAUCUUGAUGUAUCGCGAGCUUUGCUAUUAUAGUUGGAUCUUAUGAUGUUUCUCCCCCUCUACUCUCUUGUGAUGAAUUGAGUUUCCC
rnacentral:rRNA from 1 species